rnacentral:rRNA from 1 species
AUUGAACGCUGGCGGCAGGCCUAACACAUGCAAGUCGAACGAAGUGGCGAACGGGUGAGUAACGCGUAAUCAACCUGCCCUUCAGAGGGGGACAACAGUUGGAAACGACUGCUAAUACCGCAUACUGAAGGAGGGGAUUGCGUCGGAUUAGCUGGUUGGAGGGGUAACGGCCUACAAAGGCGACGAUCCGUAACUGGUCUGAGAGGAUGAUCAGUAACAAGGGAAAUGAGACACGGUCCAGACUCCUACGGGAGGCAGCAGUGGGGAAUAUUAGACAAUGGGCGAAAGCCGGAUCGAGCCAUGCCGCGUGUGUGAAGAAGGUGUUCGGAUUGUAAAGCACUUUAAGUUGGGAGGCGUUACCAACAGAGUAAGCACCGGCUAACUUCGUGCCAGCAGCCGCGGUAAUAC